AUUGAACGCUGGCGGAAUGCUUUACACACGCAAGUCGAGCGGCAGCGCGGGGCAACCUGGCGGCGAGCGGCGAACGGGUGAGUAAUGCAUCGGAACGUACCCAGUCGUGGGGGAUAACUGUCCGAAAGGACAGCUAAUACCGCAUACGUCCUGAGGGAGAAAGCGGGGGAUCGCAAGACCUCGCGCGAUUGGAGCGGCCGAUGCCGGAUUAGCUAGUUGGUAGGGUAAAGGCCUACCAAGGCGACGAUCCGUAGCUGGUCUGAGAGGACGACCAGCCACACUGGAACUGAGACACGGUCCAGACUCCUACGGGAGGCAGCAGUGGGGAAUUUUGGACAAUGGGGGCAACCCUGAUCCAGCCAUUCCGCGUGAGUGAAGAAGGCCUCGGUUGUAAG
rnacentral:rRNA from 1 species